rnacentral:rRNA from 1 species
AUACGGAGGUGACAAGCGUUAUCCGGAUUUACUGGGCGUAAAGGGCGUGUAGGCGGUCUUGCAAGUCAGAAGUGAAAUUCCUGAGCUCAACUCGGGCGCUGCUUCUGAAACUGCAGGACUUGAGUGCUGGAGGGGAUAGCGGAAUUCCUAGUGGAGCGGUAAAAUGCGCAGAUAUUAGGAAGAACACCGGUGGGGAAGGCGGCUAGCUGGAAAGAAACUGACGCUGGGGGGCGAAAGCGUGGGGGGCGAACAGAAUGAGAUAGCCUGGUGGGCCACGCCGUAAACGAUGAAUACUAGGUGGAGGGGGUAUCGACUCCCUCUGUGCCGCAGUUAACACAAUAAGUAUUCCGCCUGGGGAGUACGGCCGCAAGGUUGAAACUCAAAUGAAUUGACGGGG